UCAGAAUCAACGCUGGCGGCGUGCCUAACACAUGCAAGUCGAACGAGAAAGUGGGAGCAAUCCUGCGAGUACAGUGGCAGACGGGUGAGUAACACGUGAACAACCUACCCUCGAGCGUGGAAUAACACCGCGAAAGCGGUGCUAAUACCGCAUAACAUCCCUGGAACGCAUGUUCUGGGGAUCAAAGGCGCAAGUCGCUGGAGGAGGGGUUCGCGCCUGAUUAGCUAGUUGGUGAGGUAACGGCCCACCAAGGCGACGAUCAGUAGCCGGCCUGAGAGGGCGAACGGCCACACUGGAACUGAGACACGGUCCAGACUCCUACGGGAGGCAGCAGUGGGGAAUUUUGCGCAAUGGGCGAAAGCCUGACGCAGCAACGCCGCGUGGAGGAUGAAGGCCUUCGGGUCGUAAACUCCUGUCAGGGGGGACGAAUACCUUAACCGGUUUGACUGUACCCCCUGAGGAAGCCACGGCUAACUCCGUGCCAGCAGCCGCGGUAAUACGGAGGUGGCAAGCGUUGUUCGGAAUUACUGGGCGUAAAGGGCGCGUAGGCGGCUUGGCAAGUCAGAUGUGAAAGCCCCGGGCUUAACUCGGGAAUUGCAUCUGAAACUGCUUUGCUUGAGUCCUGGAGGGGGUAGUGGAAUUCCCAGUGUAGCGGUGAAAUGCGUAGAUAUUGGGAGGAACACCUGCGGCGAAGGCGGCUACCUGGACAGUGACUGACGCUGAUGCGCGAAAGCUAGGGGAGCAAACGGGAUUAGAUACCCCGGUAGUCCUAGCCGUAAACGAUGGGCACUUGGUGUCGGGGGUAUUGAGUCCCCUGGUGCCGGAGUUAACACGUUAAGUGCCCCGCCUGGGGAGUACGGUCGCAAGAC
rnacentral:rRNA from 1 species